GUCUGUCUGUCUGUCUGUCUGUCUGUCUUUCCAUCUGUCUGUCAGUCCAUUCGUGUUUCUGUCUUUCCGUCUGCCUGUCUGUCUUUCUGUCCGUCAGUCUUUCAGUCUGUCUGUCUGUCUGUCUGUCUGUCUGUCUUUCCGUCUGUCUGUCUGUCUGUCUGUCUUUCCGUCCGUCUAUCUGUAUGUCUCUCUGUUCAUCUGUCAGUCCAUCCGUGUUUCUGUCUUUCCGUCUGUCUUUCUGUCCGUCGGUCUUUCUGUCUGUCUGUUUCUCCGUCCAUCAGUCCAUCCGUGUUUCUGUCUUUCCGCCUGUCUGUCUGUCUUUCUGUCCGUCAAUCUUUCUGUCUGUCCGUCUGUCUGUCUGUCUGUCUUCUGUCUGUCUGUCUGUCUGUCUGUCUGUCUGUCUGUCUAUUCCAGUAUCAAACUAGUCAGAGACAGCGAUGUGAGGACAUCAACAGAAAAUUAAAAAACAAGAAGUAAAGCACCCUCAAUGCGAAUCAAACAACUGCUAGACUGAGGAGUUGAAGAAAAAAGGACAGCUGCACAAUCCAAAAACUGUGAAGGCAGUCUGUCGGCUACACAACUCGGAGGCACUAUCACCAAGAGCAAAGAUUAAGUUCACCACAUAAUAAGAAGGUCACCUUACUUUUAGUGGGAGCACUGGCUACAAGCUUGGAAUUGAAGGCCUUGAUAAAACUUACUUUGGGAAUUUUCAUUGUUAUUUCUAUUUUGGAUAUUUCUGUAUAGUUAUGUUGUGUCUAUUUUUGCUUUUA